GUUUUAAUCGAUGGGGGGACGCAGUAGGAUAGGCGAAGCGUGCGAUUGGAUUGCACGUCUAAGCAGUAAGGCUGAGUAUUAGGCAAAUCCGGUACUCGUUAAGGCUGAGCUGUGAUGGGGAGAAGACAUUGUGUCUUCGAGUCGUUGAUUUCACACUGCCGAGAAAAGCCUCUAGAUAGAAAAUAGGUGCCCGUACCGCAAACCGACACAGGUAGUCAAGAUGAGAAUUCUAAGGUGAGCGAGCGAACUCUCGUUAAGGAACUCGGCAAAAUGACCCCGUAACUUCGGGAGAAGGGGUGCUCUUUAGGGUUAACGCCCAGAAGAGCCGCAGUGAAUAGGCCCAAGCGACUGUUUAUCAAAAACACAGGUCUCUGCUAAACCGUAAGGUGAUGUAUAGGGGCUGACGCCUGCCCGGUGCUGGAAGGUUAAGAGGAGUGGUUAGCUUCUGCGAAGCUACGAAUCGAAGCCCCAGUAAACGGCGGCCGUAACUAUAACGGUCCUAAGGUAGCGAAAUUCCUUGUCGGGUAAGUUCCGACCCGCACGAAAGGCGUAACGAUUUGGGCACUGUCUCAACGAGAGACUCGGUGAAAUCAUAGUACCUGUGAAGAUGCAGG
rnacentral:rRNA from 1 species